rnacentral:lncRNA from 15 species
AUGGCACCACUGUCCAUCCAAGUGCACACAUUGAACAUCUAUCUCCUUGCAGUUUCUUUCUACUGGAGACUGGUUGACUGUGGAGCGACACUAAAUAAUCACCACACCCUGCAGACCAUGACAGCAGGAGCAGAAAAAAGCCUUCCCACUGACUAUCUCACAUCAAUACAGCCCCUCAUCUCUGAUAUCGACCCAGUCAUAAUCAUCUCUCCAUGCUAUAAAGACAUAAGAUCCACUAACAAGUCUUCUGUCCUGUGGUGAAGGACUUAGCAUGGGGGUAACCCUCACACUGCCUUACAUAAGACCUAUAUCAUGCCGCAUAGCUGUGGCUAAUGCUGAUUUAGCCAAGUACAGGGUAUUCUUACGUAAGGCCUUUAGUCAUACAGUAGCUGUGGUUGUGAUUUACUGUAUUGGCUCAUUACCUAAUGGAGCUGCAGGAGAGAAGAGGAGAGGAUGGAAGAGGACGAAAGAGGAAGAACACAGAAGAGGAUAGUAAAAGCAAUAGGAAAAGAGAUCUGAAGUGAAUACACGAAGAGAAGGGAAAGAAAGAGAUUAAUAUAGUGAGGCAGGAAGGGGUAAAGAAUUUAAAAAAAUCCUUUUCCAUUUCUUGACAUAAACUCUAAAGUAUAUUUAUGGUGACAAAUGGCUGCUUGUUAUCUUAGAGUUUAGCUUGUUUAGUUACUACAGGUGGAGCAAUGGGGGGCUUGAGCAUUGUGAGGAGGUAUCCUUGUACCCAAUUUGGAAAAGUGGUGUCAGACAAGAGUAGUUUUAAAAUGACAGGGUUGUCAUCCUUUUUCAGGCAGACUGUGUUUUGUGGUCUUUGACAUAAUCCACAGAGUGUAUAGCACCGUUCGAAUGUUAUUGUUUUAGAACCAUGUUCCCCAACGAUUAUAUGUCUUCAAUUGUAUGCUCACUUUGUGUAAACCAAAGUAAUCACACUGUUAUAUUGUGCAGACUGCCAGAUAACACCAACAAGCCACACUUCCCUCAUAAACAAGCCUUUGCUGAAUGUCCAGUCUUUUGUGAGCACACAAAUAAUUGCUGAAAGAGUUCGAAUUCACUCAUCCAUCAACCCAUUUUAUGCAGCUCACCGGGGUCCAGGUUGCAACUGGAGCAGACUAAACAAGGUAGCCCAGCCAUGUCCUCCAGCUCCCUACAAAGACCCUGGUAUAUUCCCAGGGCAUAUGGGAUUUUAUCCCUGCAGUGUGUUCUGGGUCUGCCCCAGGAUCUCCUCCCAAACAGACAUGCCGAGAAUACCUCCACAGGGAAACAUCCAGAUGCCUGAACCACGGCAACUGGAUCCUUUUAACACACAAGAACACCAGUCCUAUUCCAGGCACACUCUUGACAUCCAAGCUCCUAACUGUGCAAAGAAAACUUCAGCCCGUUGAAUCAGUUUCCUCAUUUCGUCUGUAACUAUCCAGAGUAAUGGCCAUAGAAGAGAAGUUGGAAUGUCAAUUAGUAAAUCAAGAGCAUUGUCGUCAGGCUCAUCUUUCUCUUCAUUACCACAGUUGUCU